CUGAAGCGCUCAGCUCACGGUGUACCGCGCUGUGUAUCCCACGCGCACAACUAUACGCACUCGCACCCACACGGCAACCUGUUGCCUACCCCACUCUCACUCCCAAAAACUCACCCUCAAGUCGUGCACCGGCAUGCCCUGCUUCCCACCCUUCCGCACUCUCGAAGGCGAGGUCCUUGACCUUCACGUGUGCUCCUCCAUCGACGCCAAGGACGCGGUGGCCCUGCUAUAUUUCUGCGGCGGGGAUGAGAAGGCCUGCGUGGUGCAGCCCUGCAGCCUCGCUCUCUCCCAGUACCAGCUGCACAUUGGCCCCCUAGGCCGCGAGGCGUGCGUGGAGGUGCCCUACAUGCUCAUCGCCACCUGGGGCAUUGCACGUGCCUCAUCCUCUGUCACCAAGGCGUUUGUGCAGGUGCAGCAGCAGGCGGAGGAGACGGCACGGACGUCGUCAGGGACGGCAGCGAUGGGUUCCACCAUCGGCAGUGGCGUGGCGUCGGCCACAAGCCCUUCCGCUACGGCUGCGGUGGCGAUGAUGACGCCGCUGCUGAGCGCACCUCCAGCGCAGGUGCCACAGCCGGUGCCGCUGCCAUCGCGGCCGCGAUACGCAGACCCCCUGCCCGCUCUCUAUGUGGUCACGCUGCAGACGAAGCACGUCUGGCAGCAUCGUCUUAUUGUGCAGUCGGAGCGCCUCCUCAAGAAUAUACGCGCACAUCUCACUCUCGUGCACUGCCUGGCACGCGUCUCUGACCUUCCGGCUUUCCGCUACGCCGAGGAGCGGCAGCGGCAGCGGCAGCAGCGGGUCGGCAGCAGCAGCAACAGCAUGAGCAGCGCGGGAGAGUCAACGGGAACGGCGGCUAUAUGGAGAACCGAGUUCGGCUGGAACCUCUAUUCGCCGCAGCGCGAGUUUACUCGUCAGCUCUGCGUCGACGCGUCUCGCCCCGCACCGGAGGUGGCCACCGAGGCAGCCCUGCAAGAGGGCCGCAUUGGCCUCCAUCAAGAUCUGCGACCUUGGUUCAGACUGGUGGACCUCCGUGACGAGGAGCGGGACGUCGGCAGCGGCGAGCGCCCCACCGACUUCCAGUACACGUGCUCCCCGACCUAUCCAUGGCUCUUCUUACAGCCAAGGCUCGUGGACCGUGAGUUGCUCCUGAGGGCGAUAGCGGCCCGCUCCCGCGCCCGUGUGCCGGCGGUGUCGUACGUGUGCCUGCGCACCGGUGCCGUUCUCGCACGCAGCUCCCAGCCUCUCAUGCGCUCGCCGCAGCUCAGCGCCGACUCGGACGUGUGCUAUACGCUGAUUAACAUGGGCUACGCGCCCCACCACGCGUACCCGCAGCGCACGACAGCGCCCGCGGCAGCGGCGUCAUCGCUUGUCCCCUCGCCCUUGGCAACGGCGCACGGCAGCUCGCCAGCCGCGGCCAACUCCCUCAAGGCGAGUCCCGUGGUAGGUGCGCCCGCCACGGUGGCGAGACCCGUUCGGCCGCCGUCUCUCUUCGACGACGACUCGGACGGCGAUGGCCAGCCGCCGUGUGCCGGAAGCACGAGUAACGCGUCCUCCACACAGCAGCUGGAGAGCACACGAGUAAACGGGAGCGGCUGCACCUCCGUCUGGGCACCACCGUCGACUGUAUCCAAGGCCGCGCGCAAGUUCACGGUGACCGCGGCUGGAGACACUGCGAACGUCGCCACCACGCCAUCGAUGGAGACCUCCCACAGUGCUGUGACGGGUGCGAGCACGAACUCGAACGCGGCCAAGAUGCUGCUAGUGGCGGACUGUCGGCCGCAGAUCACGGCCGCCGGCAACGCCCAGCUCGGCGGCGGCUACGAGUCGGGUAGCUACUACACGUUCUGUCAGACCAACUUCUUCGAGAUCGACAACAUCUUCGGUGUGGCCAAGUCGUUCGAAAAGCUACGCAGCAUGCUGGCCCGCUACCAGGGCAACACGGUGGAAAAGACUUUUCUGCGGCGGUUGUACGACUCCGACUGGCUCGCCAUCGUCCAGCGCGUACUCGUCUGCUCCGUGACGGCGGCGCAGUCGCUGCAAAACGGUGUGUCGUGUCUGGUCCACUGCACCGACGGCUGGGAUCGCACGUCACAGUGCACGGCGCUCGCGAUGCUCCUGCUGGACCCGUACUACCGCACCAUCGUGGGCUUCUGCACGCUGAUCGAGAAGGAGUUCUGCUCCUUUGGCCACAAGUUCGCAGAGCGUUCUGGACACCAGCUGCCAGGCCGCACGACCGUCUUCACUCACUCGGGUGUCGCAAGCUCCGACACGGAGCAGCAGCACGGCGGCAGUGCCCCGCGUCUGGACACGUCGCCGAUCUUCUUGAAUUUCCUGGACGCGGUGUUCCAGGUGUGCCACCAAUAUCCGACUUGCUUUGAGUUUACGCCAGAGCUGCUCGCCCACCUGUCGGAGGUUGUCUACAGCUGUCUCUACGGCACGUUCUUAUGUAACGGCGAGCAGGAGCGGCGUCUCGAGGGGGUGCGGCUGCGCACAGCCUCCGUCUGGACAGACGUCCUGCGCCGCACGCAGCGGGAGAAGGCCGGCGAGAUCCCGCUCUGCUUCGUCAACGUCCAUUACGACGCGGCGACGGCGUGGCGCUUCAUCUCGCAGCGGCGGCGCGGGCGUGGGGAUGGCGGCGCAACGGCAUUGGCGGACUUUAUGCUGCUGCCCAACUGCAGCAGCAAACGUCUCGUGUUUUGGGAGCAGCUGUACACCCGCGAAGACGCGGAUCACUACCUCAGCUACAACCCCCACGUGCACGCCGUCAAGACGACGCAGGAGGUCUCGUGGGGGCCCGAGUUCGACGGCUUCCUCGAUGCUGAGAUGGAGGAGGCGUGCGCCGAUCGGGAAAACGAAAUGGCAUCGCUGCUGGCGCUCGAGGAGUUCAUGGCAGCCGAGGCGAAUACCCCGGCGGCGCCGUCGCUCGCGGCUAACAGUGCGAGAAGUGCCUGGUGCGUCUUUGACGCCGUCAACUGCUUCAACUGCUACAAGUCCUUUGGCAUGUGGAGCACCAAGGCGCAGUGUGCGGCAUGCAAGCAGUACUUCUGCACCGACUGCCACGUGCACGACUGUAUACUGCAGCAGUACUGAGGUGCUGGGCGCGACGGCGUAUGUCGAGAGGCUCAUGCGUGCGUGGGGCAUGUCCAUUGCUUGCGAUGCAUCGUUAUCCUAUCGUACUACGGGUGCGACCCGACGAAGUGGGGGAGAGAAGAAUAAGAACACCAACAACAGCCAAAGGCGGGGCAAGGGACCGCGGCGCGAUGGCGAAGGAUGCCGAGUCGGCACAUGUACGGGACGUGCCCAGCGCAUCCUCCUGUGCCGCACUUGACAUGGCUGCCUCCUAGACGUUUUUUUGUGUGGCUGCUCACCAGCACAUGCACAUGUGUGCGUGGACGCGUCGCUCACUCUCCUCUACUUUCUCCUCCCUUGGCACGCCCCUUAUCGCACUGCACGGCAUGCGCACAACUCGUGUCCCGAAAG
rnacentral:misc_RNA from 1 species